rfam:Bacillus sp. SA2-6 scf7180000001082, whole genome shotgun sequence.
UAUAUGCACUAGGGGUGUUAUUUAACUGAGAUGAGUAUAAACUCAAACCCUUUGAACCUGAUCUAGCUGAAACUAGCGUAGGAAAGUGUAAACUCUAAUAC